GAUGAACGCUAGCGGGAGGCCUAAUACAUGCAAGUCGAGCGGUAGAGUGACUUCGGUUGCUUGAGAGCGGCGCACGGGUGAGUAACGCGUACAUGACCUACCUUUAAGACUGGGAUAGCCCUGGGAAACUGGGAUUAAUACCGGAUGUGAUAAUACGUAUAGAGAUGUAUUAUUAAAGUUGAGGCGCUUAGAGAUGGAUGUGCGUCUGAUUAGCUAGUUGGUAGGUAACGGCCUACCAAGGCUACGAUCAGUAGGGGGCGUGAGAGCGUGGCCCCCCACACGGGUACUGAGACACGGACCCGACUCCUACGGGAGGCAGCAGUAAGGAAUAUUGGUCAAUGGACGGAAGUCUGAACCAGCCAUCCCGCGUGCAGGAUGACUGCCCUAU
rnacentral:rRNA from 1 species